ensembl:lncRNA
UUUUUAGAGUCUUCGUAUAAGUGAGAACAUAUCAUAUUUGUCUGUCUUUGUUUGACCUCUUUCCCCAAGCAUAAUGCCCUCUAGGUUUAUCCACGUUGCCACAAAUGUCAGGAUUUCCUUACUUUUUAUGGAAUAUAUAUAUAUAUAAAAUCAUAUUUUGUUUUUCCAGUCACCUGUAGACAGAUACUUCGGUUGCUUCCACGUCUUGGCGUUUGUAAAUAACGCUGCAGUGAACAUGAGGUUCAGAUACCUCUUUGAAAUAGUGAUUUAUUUCCUUUGGAUAUAUACCCAGAAGUGGGAUUACUGGAUCAAAUGGUAGUUCUGUUUUUAAUUUCUUGAGGAACUUUCCUAUUAAGUUUCCAUUGUGGCUGACCAAAUUUACAUUUCCACCAACAGUGUACCAGGGUUCCCUUUUCUCCACACCCUCACCGACACUUAUUUCUUGUGGGUUUUUUAAUAAUAAUCAAAAAAUGACUUCUUAUGCAACAAUUUUGAGGAAAUGGGCGUUAUUUGCAUAGACAUCAUUAAAAACAGGGUUUGAACUAUUUUCUCGGAACUAAGUCAUGUGGGCAUUCAAGAGGAUUACAUUUGUGUUUGGAAGUGUUUGAGCUACAGAGGCAGACAGGAAAUUAAAAAUGUAGGGUUUGGACUUCCCAUUGUGGCUCGGUGGGCUAAGAAUCCAACUAGUGUCCAUGAGGAUGUGGGUUCGAACCCUGGCCUCGCUCAGUGGGAAAGGAUCCUGCAUCUGCCAUAGGUCGCAGAUGUGGCUCGGAUAUGGCGUGGCUGUGGCUGUGGCUAUGGCAUAGGCCAGGAGCUAUAGCUCCGAUUUGACCCCUAGCCUGGGAAUUUCCUUAUGCCACGGAUGCAGUCCUAAAAAGACUAAAUAAAUAAACGAAUACAUGAAAUCAUUGGUGUUCAUUUAAAAAUAAAUUGAAAUGUAGGGUUUGUAAAAAUGAAUAUACCGGUUCUCUGCUUGAAUCUGCAUCUGCUAGCUGUGUGAUCUUAGAUAAGUUACCCAACCUUCCUGAGCCUCCUCUUUAAACUAUGGAUAAUAGCACUUGCUAUGUGGGUUACUGUGAGGGCUGAAGCAUUGCACAAAGUUUCCGACACACAGAAAGUGCCCAAUAAACAAGCACUGCUAUUUGUAAUAACAGUAUUAAAAAUAAUCGGGGAGUUCCCGUCAUGGCACAGCGGAAACAAAUCCAACUAGGAACCAUGAGGUUGCGGGUUCGCUCCCUGGCCUCGCUCAGUGGGUUAAGGAUCCGGCGUUGCCGUGAGAUGAGGCUCAGAUCUGGUGUUGCUGUGGCUGUGGUGUAGGCUGGCAGCUGUAGCUCUGAUUAGACCCCUAGCCUGGGAACCUCCAUAUGCCGCGGGUGUGGCCCUAAAAAGACAAAAGGCAAAAAAAAAAAAAAAACCCUGCAGUUGAGACUAUGGCCCCAAGAGAAGGCAAUUCCCUGUUGCAAAUGCUCUAGGGCACUGUGGAAGGUAAUCGUGAUGGCCUCAGCAUCAACAGGAAGUGCCACCGACCCAAGGUUAAGUGGCCCCUGGCUGGUCAUAGAGGCAUGUUCUCAAAGGGGAUAGGAAAUCAGUAGGAACAGUCAGCCUUGUUCUAGUUUAGAGAAACAGAAGGAGAAGCCCCAAAUCUGUAACAUUGUCUUACCGCACAUGCGCUGCUGCUAUAUACACCAAAGAAGCAGAACUGCUCGCUCUGAAACAAAGUGGUUAACCUAAUGCAGGCUCCGGGGUCAGACUGACCUGAGUUUGAACUCAAGCUCCGCCACUGAAAAACUCUGUGACUUUGUACAAGCUACUUAACUUCCCUGAGCCUUAAUUAUUCAUUGUAAAUUUGGGAAAAAUAAUAAUAGCACUUAACUCUUAAGGCUAUAUUGCAAGAAUUAAAUGAAAUGAUGUGUGUAAACCGCUUUGCACAAUCCCUGGCAUACCGUCCGUGCUCAAUAAAUCAUUACCCUUACAUCAUUAAAUCAUUCAACUUGCUGUUACAACAAAUACAGCCUUGAUGUGUGUGAACGAGCCUGGUAGUUUCAAAUGAAUGGUAAUAAUCUGAGAAGAAUGUCUUCCAUGGCUUUGGCUUUCUAAAGUUCAAACCUCAUCAUUAUCACCGUGUAUUAAACACCUACCAUAUGCCAGGCAUUUAGGUACUAUUUCUUACUUAAUCGUCACGGUACCUAAAUAAGGGAGAUGCUAUUUUUCCCUUAACACGCAAGGAAAGGGAGACUCAAAGAAGGUGAAGUAAAAAUUUGCCCCAGGUCCUACCAGCAGAACAGCCAAUAUUUGAACCUAGGCUUGGAUUCAGAAUCCCUGCUUUUGCUCAAUGCAGGACCGUCCCGACCUUUGUAAAAUCACCUACCAUAACUUCCUACAGCCUUUAGGGCAAAAGUCAAGCCCCUCCGGUUACUACAUAAGGCUUUUCCUUAUCUGGGUCUGGCCCCUACUAACCCCUCUGGCCUCCAUGCCUCCAGCCCAAUCACCACCUCCCAAAAUCCCUCUUUGGGAUGCCCUUCCUGAGUUUUCCAGAGCUCCCCGGCCGUAUCGACCAUAUCUCUAUCAUGGGACUUGCCCUGCUGCAACGUAAAUAUUGAUUUCAUUGUCUGUGUUCCGCAAAGGGCCAUAAACUCUUCAGGGCACUCUGUCUCAUCCAUCUUUCUGUUCGCACUAUCAAGCAAAGUGUUUAGCAUGAGUAGGAAUUCAGCCAUUGUGUGUUGAGGGAGUGAAUGAGUGAGUAGAUGGAUUAAUGGCUAUUGAGCAGGGAAGGGCCAAGCAUAAAGUCCUACCCCUUUUUAGAACAGUGGUGCUUAAGGUGUGGUUCCCUGGACCAGCAGCAGCCUCUGGGCAUUUUGAAGCGCACAUCAUUGGCCCUGCCCCAGAAGCAGAAACCCUGGGGCUGGGCUCGAGCCAUCUGUAGUUUAACAACACCUCCAGGUGAUUCAGAUGCAUGGAAAUGAAAAGUAUGGGUAUACAACAGAGUCAAAUUGCCAAGAAACACACAGAUGGAAACAGCAAAAAGAGUAUGGUUAUUAUUAAAAUUAAUUCCUUCAGUUUAUUUGGUACCCAAUACAUUAAAAAGGGUUUUCCUACCUACCCUCUUGGAACGGAGAGGGAAAGUGAGUAAGGAGCUCAGAUCUGUUUUAGAUACAUACCUAUUUGGUAGGCCCCUGGGUUCCGAGGAACUCACUCGCUCAGCUGUCACAUCUGGAAAACAAGAGUUUUGUGUCUCCAGAGGUGCGUCUGCCUGGCCGGGCUGGGCCGAGGUAGCGGCCUCGGUGGUCAUUAGCCCUUCCGGUGAAAUCCCAUUGGUUGGUCUCGGAUUCCAGGUGGGCAAGGUUGAAUGUGAUGAAAUACUACUGGGGGUUACAGGAAAGCUAAAGCUAUGGGGGGAAAGAUGUACGCAGGCUACCCGGGGUACAGGAGUAUUUUUAACACUUUACACAGACAUGAGGUUUCAGCAAGUGAGAGAGGCAGCUUACAAAAUUAUAUGACUCUAUUCUUAGUUUAAAAAAUAUUUGGUCACUCUCAGAGAAAAAAAAAAUUUGUGAAAGGCAUUAAGAUAUAAUGGUGAUUUCUUUGGGUCGUGGGAUUACCCCUUACCAUUUUUUUUUCCAAAAAAAUUUUUAUAAUGAAAAAAAGAUAAUAAAGGUAGAAAAUUGGUUCUGUGUACCCAGAGGGAACUGGACACACAGUACUGACUGCUGAAGUAGCUGGAGGCAGGAUUUGAAAAAGAGGAUUGGAAUCGCAGAGGCUGGAAAGACCCCAGGACAAUCUGAUAUCAAGGGGCCUCCUUAAAGCACUGAAAUGAGAUGAGGUGAUGCUCUUCUGAAGACUGCUAUCUAUCGUCAAAGACCGUGGACACUGCAGACUCAGCUUUCUGCUAACUCCAAGGCAACUUCAAGCAAAAAAGAAAGCAAGCGUCUGGGACCUAGAUCGAACCUGGCUUGUUUUGCUUUGGUAUUUUUGCCCAGGACCUGGAAGGUGAGAGGGCUCGUUUGGAAGGUGGAAGUGAGGGGAAAUUAUCCAGAACAGUUUAGUGGCUCCAGGGAUCACAAGGAGGUAUCGACUGGAGGGGAGGAAUAAGAGAAGCAAACAACUAGCGCCUGAAGCAAACUGUUGUGCACUUGAAACUUGUGCCCAACUAAUUGCAUAAAAUGAGACGAUGUACCUGUAACUUACAUAUUCUGCAUAGUUUCUACCCUAAGAUUUCUUCACGCUAUGGUUUAAAACUCAGCUGCAUUCUUGAAAAUGAUCAUCCGAGCAAUAAUUACUUUGGGAGUGGAGGUUGAGAAUGGCAUUAAAGCAAACGUUCUGAAUCUCAAGGGCACACUCUCCGGAGAAGUGACCCCUCCCCCAACCUGGAGCCUUGGGAGUGGAAAGUUAUUAUUCGCACAGUUUACAUGUAUUUAGCAGUUAGUGCUUGGAAGGCUAAGUGCUUUGAAUGGAUUGGCACAUUGGUACUUCAAAGGAGCCCUAUGAGUUGGAUACUGCUAUUAUGCCCAACUUUGGAGAUCUAGCUGGCAAGGGGCAACGUUAGGACUGUCUGACUGACGUGCAGAUUCCUUGUACAAUACCAGCCUGCAUUUGUCAGUCCUGAAAAUACCCUAAAGCAAGUAACGAUAGCAGUAAAAUGAGGCAACAAUUAGUAAUGCCUGGGGUGAGGUUGUAAGGAAACAACACUUGUCGGUGUUGGC